GUGGUGGUGUUGGAUCAGCAAUCGUCUCUGCCAUCACCUCUUUGCCAUCGCAGAUGAUCUUGACUUUGCAGUAGACAGGCCUUACCGCACAUUGGACUUCGAAAUUCCCAGCACUAGCUGUUUUAUGUGCAGGACAGGAACAAGUUCAAUGAUUGCGUUAGCGAUUUGAUCGCUCUCGAUGAGGAAUUUCUGCAGCAUUUCUCGCCUCUUCGAUCUCUCUUUGUUCAAGUAGGUUUCGAUCUGCUCUGGGCUCGCUCGGCUUUUAGGCAUCAUUCCUACUAUUUCAGAAAUUGAUGAUGUGUCAGGUUCCUCACAAAAUACUAAUUUUAACUGACAGCAACUCUUUAAGCAAAUUCAGCUAAACAAAUCCAUGUUUUUGUUCUUUUCCUUCUGUUAAGUUGCUGAACCUACUAGUCUAUUUUCAUCUUGUCAGUGUCACUGUAUCAACGACUAGAAGCUUGCAGAAUGGAAUCCCACUGUGCUGAUCUUGUUCACACUUUAGUGGUAGUCUAACAUCACAAUUGACAUCCCAUACUAGCAUGCGCCCUACUCUACCCGGCAUGUCACAGCUCUACUUUUUGGCACUCUAUGGUACACGUUUCUUGCUAGCAUUCGCUACCUGGAGCUCAAAGGAUGUAUGUGAUCUUUGAGAAUAGAUUCUACAAUCUUCACUGAAGGAAAAAUCAUGUUUGGUUGCUGAAAAUACAGCUUAUAUAUAAAAGAAAAAAAACAUUUAGAGGUACAGGUCACAACUAACGCGUAUAUCUCGGAUCUUCUACAAGGUCAGCAUCAGCCACUUGGAAUUUUGCUUUUGCAGCUUUGCGACGGUGCAAAACCCAGUCUUAGGCGCAAGAUGUUUACAACAAGGCUCCAAGGAAACUCCAGCGCAUGAAGGCGACACCUUUGAAAGUCCAAGAACUUGACCCUUGAUCCUUCCAUCACGACCAUCAUCUCUGUUCAACUAGUGCGCGAAAGCCGGCGCUUUCUGGGACCCCAAUUAAUAAUGGUGACCCGAAACAAGACUGCUUGUUUGCAAAUUGCAACAUUGUCCCUCUUACUCGUUGUUACGGUUGUAGUCCUGAUUUGACUCUUAACCUCCAAUUGCCAAAGAGGAUGGUUUCUGUUCGAGUUAGGCUCGAGGAUCUUGUGACAUUGGAAGGAUCCAUGUCGGCGAGGAUACAAACCUGAAUGUAACCCAAGAGUUUUCACAGGAAACACUAGUAGUUUGAUCUGAUUCGAUCCAUUCCUACAUGACUCUGGAAAAAUCCUCGUGUUUCAAACGGCAGCAUGCAUGCUUAACUCGAGUAAAUCGGAGCAGGUUUAUGAUCGUGAAUCGAACCAGAUGGUGAGGUCAGGAGAAGCAGCAGAUGGGGUAAGAGUAGUAGUGGAGAUCGCUCACAUGGUG